rnacentral:rRNA from 1 species
UACGUAUGUUGCAAGCGUUACUCGGAAUCACUGGGCGUAAAGCGUACGCAGGCGGACUUAUAAGUCAGAAGUGAAAUUUCAGGGCUCAACCCUGAACCUGCUUUUGAAACUGUAAGUCUUGAGUAUUAGAGGGGAAGAUGGAAUUCUUGGUGUAGCGGUGGAAUGCGUAGAUAUCAAGAAGAACACCGGUGGCGAAGGCGGUCUUCUGGCUAAAUACUGACGCUGAGGUGCGAAAGCGUGGGGAGCAAACAGG